rnacentral:lncRNA from 1 species
AUCAUUCACGGUAUUAGCUACAGGUUCGUGAACUUGGGUUAACCCCACUAUGAGGAAGUGCGCCGGAACAAGUUGACUUCUCUAUUUUUCUUCAUCUUCUCCGGUUGUCAUGCCGGUCCAGUUUGUAGCACCGCACGGUGGUUCAAAAUUCCGGGUCGGAUUGAUCUCUUUUUUUUAUUUUUUUUAUUUUUUAUUUCAGGUUUACAAAAUGCGGUGUUGAAGGAUGAUAGAUUGUGAUUUUAAUUGAUGAGUUAAGGGAAUGAACACUAUUACUGAUUUAAUCUAUUAUUUGAUGGUCCUAUAGUACAUAUGUUUCAUUAUUGGAAAGAAAUUGAUUCUGUUUUAGGUGUUAAAUUGAUGUUGUUUGGUUUAGUUUAUGUUGUUUUUGUUCAUCCACUAAAGACAUAAACAUUCAUGAAUAUUCAAGGUCCUGGUAUAUGCAUCAAUAUUAUAACAGUGAAUAAGAAAUAUGUCUCUAUUCAUUAGUGAUCAUCAUACGAAAUUGAUAUAAAAUUAUACAUGUUAUUAUAGGAUGAAUAUCAUUGAUAUAUGAAGCAUGGUAGUGUACUAUAAUUAGUAUGAAUGUAAUACACAUUACUAACCUGAAUUCGCUUACUGCAAUAAUCCUGUUCCGGUAACUGCACUACAAUUCUCUUCUNNNNNNNNNNNNNNNNNNNNNNNNNNNNNNNNNNNNNNNNNNNNNNNNNNNNNNNNNNNNNNNNNNNNNNNNNNNNNNNNNNNNNNNNNNNNNNNNNNNNCUGACCAAGUAUCAGAGCUGGGGUGAAGGAAAUGCAGCCUCGAGGUCCCAUUAAUACCAUAUUUGGGUACUCCCCGCAAGAAUACAUGAUUGCUGAGUGUCUCUCAUAAAAGCGAGUCUUUGUACCAAAAUUCCUAGGAGUAACCUCGUCAAACAACUUUUUCCAGUCCAACAAUUGCAUUGGUUUCACCAUAAUAUUUCUGAACCUCAAGAGGGGAUGUCUGCUCCAAUCCGGAUACUGAUGGUGUUUGAAUCUAGUAAUCAUCCACACAUACAACAAUUGAGUACAACAUCGGAUCUUGAAAUGACCUUUUUCAUGACACCUUUGGAACGAUAGCAGGGUCUCUGCCACGAUAGCUGGGACUGGGUUGGCUCCAAACGUCCUGAAUUUUGAGAACACAUCAAUGGCCGCCUGAUCAAUCAUGUCAUGGACAAAUGGGAACAAGAUCAUGCCAUAGACUGCCAAGGCGAAUGCUGGUUUGAACAACUCCCAUUUUCCUUGCUCCGCUGUUUGACUGAUAUGUUUCUUCAAAAAUUUCCACCUGAGCCCAAAGGUCAUCCCCUGUUUCAUGAUGUUAGUCGAACUCGGACGUACCCCAAUGAGCCUCUCUAUCAAGUCUUCUGUAACAUUCUGAGCCUCAGUGAACAAAUAGACUUUCUCUCUAUCUCGAACCUGAAUAUCCAGCAGAACGUCAUAUUCUUUGAUCGUAGGUGAUGCAUCUAAGUUAGGAAACUCAAAUACUCUCAGAGUUGGACUCCAAUAUUGAACAUGGCACCCAUAACUUUCAGUGUAUCUCCAUCAACAGUGAUAAGGAGUAGAUCAAUCAGCCUUUCGUACUCUUUGUUGAACUCAUUCUGAAUUUCUUGAGGGAUCUAUGGGAUCAACUCUAUCAAACAGUUCACAUCUAUUCUUUGUACCUCAGCUUUUACUCCCUUUUUCACCAAUAAAUUAUUGCCUUGACCCAUAACAAGAGAAUCAGCCUCCAUGUCUCACUAUACCGCGGAUCUCUUUUCAAAAAAGGAAUCUGUUUAUUAAGGAUGAUAAAAAACAUGUUACUUGAAUGCAUGAACAUAAUGAUUUGUGAUGUUUUAUAAAAUGUAAUGAUGUAUGAUAUGUAAUGAAGGAUAAAAAUGAAAAUAGGAUUAAAAAUAAAAAUAAAAAGUACAAUCCAAUUUUGCUAAUAUAAAAAGGUCCCAAGGGUAUUUGGGCCCAUAGGGGGUAAGUUAUAAAUCAUGUUUAAUUAGAAAAUAUCACAAACAUAUUUAAAAUAAUUUGGAAUGAUGGUAAAUCAUGUUUCACGAUGUACAUUGAUGCAAGUGGAUUNAAGUGGAUUAAGGUUUGCUUCCUGUGUCCUAUGUAAGGUAUGCUUAGAAGGUUUUCUUUCUGAAAGCUGCUACCCUAUGGUGGAAUGCUAGGUUUUGACUAAAGUGGACUCGAUAAAGUUCUAGACUUCUAAAGGUCACAAGACUGCAUCCAAUCUUAAAAGAAUGGAAACCACAUAUCAUGAGCUAGUUACGAGAAGAGACUAGCUCCCCAAGCGGCCAACUCAUGAUAUAUGGGAACAAUCUGGGUGGUUCAUCAUGCCAAUACCCGAUGUGACACAAGGUCACUUACCGGCAAAGCAGAUGUUCCCAUAUCUUAAUCUUAAUCUCUAACACCCGGUUGUAGGGCGUGUGCAACUCAAGUGUAACAAGUGAGUGUGUGAGGAAGCACAUAGACCUUAAAAUAAAUCCACCCCCCAAAAGUUGCACAAGAAAUAGGUGAGUACGUUCAAGAAUAAUCAAUUGACUGAAAAAUAAAUAAAUAACAUAAAUAAAAAUGCAUACACAAGUUUGCACAAACAAAGAAGGCAUAAGGGUAUAAAGCAAACAUGCAAAAAGUGGUAUUGGGCCUGACCCUCUUUAAAAAAAAAAAUCUCCAGCAGAGUCGCCAGCUGUCGCGCCCCGGCUUUCGGUUACGCGACCUCUUAGAGUCGCCACUACAUUUUAUGGUUAAAAAUGUAGAAAAAUCUUUAAAGCCCAAAUCACAUUGGGCUUUUGGAUUUUUGAUAUCCAGGUUCUGGAGUCGAUUACGAAUUGAGGAAUGUAUUAGCACCCCGUUCGCCCGUAAUAAAACGGUACCCUAACUAAUUGCAUACAUUGAAUACCCUUAAUUUAUUUAAAUUAAAUUGCUUACAAAAUAUUUUUUUAUUUUUUAUUUGUGUCUGACAAGUUCAUAUUGCUCCUACGUAUCCCCGGGUGCAAUAGGGAAAUCAAGACUACGUAGUUCUUAAAAAAUUAAUUUGGUUUGAUUAAAAGAUUUAGAAAUUGGUUUGAAUUUAAUUAGAGUGGAAUUAAUAGACAAAGAGGCAACAUUGAUUGCUUACCCUCUUCCCACUUCGAUAGAUAGCAUACGCAGUACAAAUGACCGUGACCGGUUCUCGGCUCGAAGCGAAGAGAAAGAUGCAACACGAGUUGUAACCUCGCUAUUGAAUCCUAAAACAAUUAAAACUUGUUAUUAUUUUUAUAAAGUAAAGCUUAGAAAUUUGUUUGAAUUUAAUUGAAAUGGAACUAGUAGACGAAGAAUCAACAUUGAUUGUUUACCCUCUUUCCAUUUCGAUAGAUAGCAGAAGCAGUACAAGUGACCGCUACCGAUUCUCGACUCGAAGUGAGAAGAAAGAUACAAUACGAGUUUUAACCCUGCUAUUAAAUCCCGAAAAAUACUUAAAACACCCUUUGUUUUUAUUUUUAUUUUUAAAUGACUUACACAUUUUUAAAGAUAGAGAAUUAAUAAAUGAAGAGUCGACAUGGGUCAUUAACCAUCUUUCCACUUUGAUAAAUAACAGGAGCAGUACAGAUGACCACAACCGAUAGUUGAUUCAAAGUAAGAAGUAAGAUAUGACACGAGCCGUAACCUCAUUAUUACCUUCUCAUGAAAAUACUUUUAUUUAUUAAAAAGGACACAACUUUUAGCUUAAAAUAUAUUGUUAUUAAAUUCAUUGAUACUACAUUUAUAUGAUUAAUAAGUAAACAUGAACUUAAUUUGGGGCAAGAUUAUCUCAUUAAUAUUAUAAAUCAAACAACAAUCAAAAUAUAACAUAUAAUAAGUAGAUGAAUAUAAAGAAUGAAUAGAAGUAUUAUUACUAUUAUUAUUUUUAUUAUUAUUAUUAUUAUUAUUAGAUAAAGAGCUGUUGGGGGUAACACACGGUUACCCCUAUUAUUAUUACUAUUAUUAUUAUAAAAGAGUUGUUGGGGUAACACACGGUUACCCCGACUAUUAUUAUUAUUAUUAUUAUUAUUAUAUAUAUAUAUUUAUAAAAGUAAAUAAAGAGUGUAAAGGGGGUAACACACGGUUACCCCCACCUGCACUAAAUAAAUAGGUAAAUGAGGAGAAAAGGGAUUUAGAAUCCCUAACUGAAGUUACUCCUAUUUUUUUCAGCGAUGGUAGUGAAUGAAUGCAGGUGGAUUGCGGUGGUGCGAAUGGCGGAAGGCACACCAAUCAUUCACGGUAUUAGCUACAGGUUCGUGAACUCGGGUUAACCCCACUGUGAGGAGGUGCACCUGAACAAGCUGACUUCUCUAUUUUUCUUCAUCUUCUCCGGUUGUCAUGCCGGUCCAGUUUGUAGCACCGCACGGUGGUCUCACGCUGGUUCAAAAUUCCGGGUCGGAUUGAUCUUUUAUUUUUUUUAUUUUUUAUUUCAGGUUUACAAAAUGCGGUGUUGAAGGAUGAUAGAUUGUGAUUUUAAUUGAUGAGUUAAGGGAAUGAACACUAUUACUGAUUUAAUCUAUUAUUUGAUGGUCCUAUAGUACAUAUGUUUCAUUAUUGGAAAGAAAUUGAUUCUGUUUUAGGUGUUAAAUUGAUGUUGUUUGGUUUAGUUUAUGUUAUUUUUGUUCAUCCACUAAAGACAUAAACAUUCAUGAAUAUUCAAGGUCCUGGUAUAUGCAUCAAUAUUAUAACAGUG